AACGAACGCUGGCAGCAUGCCUAACACAUGCAAGUCGAACGAGACCUUCGGGUCUAGUGGCGCACGGGUGCGUAACGCGUGGGAACCUGCCCUUAGGUUCGGAAUAACUCCCCGAAAGGGGUGCUAAUACCGGAUAAUGUCUUCGGACCAAAGAUUUAUCGCCUUUGGAUGGGCCCGCGUUGGAUUAGCUAGUUGGUAGGGUAAAAGCCUACCAAGGCGACGAUCCAUAGCUGGUCUGAGAGGAUGAUCAGCCACACUGGGACUGAGACACGGCCCAGACUCCUACGGGAGGCAGCAGUGGGGAAUAUUGGACAAUGGGCGAAAGCCUGAUCCAGCAAUGCCGCGUGAGUGAUGAAGGCCUUAGGGUUGUAAAGCUCUUUACCCGGGAUGAUAAUGACAGUACCGGGAGAAUAAGCUCCGGCUAACUCCGUG
rnacentral:rRNA from 1 species